GUAAUACAUAAGUAACCUGCCCUAGACAGGGGGAUAACUAUUGGAAACGAUAGCUAAGACCGCAUAGGUACGGACACUGCAUGGUGACCGUAUUAAAAGUGCCUCAAAGCACUGGUAGAGGAUGGACUUAUGGCGCAUUAGCUGGUUGGCGGGGUAACGGCCCACCAAGGCGACGAUGCGUAGCCGACCUGAGAGGGUGACCGGCCACCACUGGGACUGAGACACGGCCCAGACUCCUACGGGAGGCAGCAUG
rnacentral:rRNA from 1 species